rnacentral:lncRNA from 1 species
ACACGCACACUACCGUUGGAGGGUUUCGACAUACACACUUCAUAGCUUGGUAACCGUACAAAUGUUUUCUAUCUAUGUGAAAGCAACAACUCUCCAAAGAAUUGUACAGGAAGUGUGAAUCUAAAUAUAUCAAAAUGUUGUUCCUAUGUACUCUUGGUUAAAAGAGACAUUUGCCAUGGCAAUACUCUAAACUUCUCUUCAGUCUAUACUGGACGGCAUCCCACCGGGUAUGACUGCAAUAGCCUCUAGAAUUUAAACUCAAAUUGCAAAACCAAACUCAUAAGCAGAAACAACAAUGUCGGACAAUAUCUGUCAUGCUUGAAACUGUUGCAGAAUGUCACCCCUCACCUGCAAAUGAGUUGAAGCUAAGCAUAUUUACACUAUAAAGAAGCUACCCAGAAAGAAUAAUUGUUAAACAUAUAUGAUGCUUCUACCAUUCCAUGUAUACUCCAGCAGUCCAAUCCUUUUGAUAUGCUCAAGCAAUCACAGAGUACACGUGCAUAUAAGAUUAUAAGUCAAAGAUCAGUAUGUAAAUAAGAAUCUUUAAUCAACGACACUAAACACAAUUUGUCAUGUAAUGACAUGAUACACUUCUAAAUGUACGAAGCAUACAUAAAGAGGUAUUGGAAGCAACUUAACAUAUGACAAAUAGUAAGAGAAGCAAGUUUGUUAUUAUUAACUAAACCAACCUUUUACCUGCACCGGAUCCUCUUUAUUCUUCAACCAAGUUACCCUUCUUUCUUUUGCUUCAUUGACAUUCUAUCUACCCCUCUAUUUCAAGGCCUUUCUCUGCACUUUUUAUUACAGUUAGUAGUUCUCUUUGAUUUUCUCCAUAGCUAAUUCUUAUGGGUUUACUGUUUUGACAUCACUUGUUGGAUGAAGCACAUGAUAGUGCGUUUAUUUACUGGGUAAAAAUGAAAAGACAAGUCUUUAUGCUUAUCAAAAAAUAACGAAUAGACAAUUCUUUAUCUGGAGACACUUAGCGGAAGAAAAAUCCUUUCAUCACUGUUUCCUAAUACCACUUAGUUCAGCCCAAUCUCUGCCGUGCAAACUCCAAACACCCGCAAAUUCAUAAAACCCUGCAAACAUCGGUACCACUAUUGAGCACUCGCAGAGUCCUAAAACAAGGGGGAAAACUGAACUCCAAGAAAAGGGUUACACAUAGAUAAAGCAAGAUCUAGAAUAUUUUAGAGCAAGGUCGAAAGGGAAGUGAAAACUUUUGUGUUGGCGGUUAAAGGCCUUACUACAGGAAUUCAAAAAAUAAAUAGAAGACAGACAGAUUGAACUCGCCGGGAGCCCUGAUCCCCAUCAUCUAUUGCUGAUGUAGCCCAUUUAACAGACAAAUCAGAAGAA